rnacentral:rRNA from 1 species
CACCGCGGUUAUACGAGAGACCCAAGUUGUUAGACACCGGCGUAAAGAGUGGUUAGGGUAAAUUUAAGACUAAAGCCGAACACCUUCAAAGCUGUUAUACGCACCCGAAGGUAUGAAGUUCAACCACGAAAGUAGCUUUAUAUUAUCUGAACCCACGAAAGCUAGGGUA